UCCAGAAUUGAAGCCAACCCGGAAGUGUCAAGAACUUGCAAUAUCACACCGUCCGCUAGGGUUGGCUCCAAAAAGCUUUUGCUCCAUAGACCCCAAUUCAUUUUUGGAAAAAAUCAAAUUUGAUAGACUGAUUUUCUACAGCUCAGGAUUUUUUCCCCGUUAGUUUUCAUGGUCAAAAUGAGAGAUCAGGUGGCCGAUCUUAAAAUAAAUCAAUACUGAAUUUUAAAUAAAUCGUUAAAGUUGGCGGAGCCAGGGGGCGUGGCUAUACUUGAUAGACAGCAACAGAAGCCUCUGCGGUAAAACGUGGGCGGGAUAAGAGAGUUCUCAGCCAAUCCUGCCCCUAGUUACUCUCCGGUCCAGUCUGUUUGAUGACGCUUUUUACGUCACUGGCUCCAAAAAAUCCAAAACGGCGACCAGGAAGUAGCAAAAUCCAGGCUUCAUUUUCUCGCCGUUGAAACCAACGGGUGACGUCACGGUUAGUUUACGCCUGAUCCAGACUUACGGAGCCAUAUAAACGAAAAUGUUUCUUCACUGUCAUGCUAAAAUAAACCACAGCAUUUAGCCUCUAGUACAAAAACAUAUUUUGGGUGUUUUAUACUCACUUGUUGGUCUCUUCGACAACGUUAUUCCUCUCUCCUACAACGUUGAUUACAAUUACAUGCAAACUGGGAAAUAUGCAAAUUAGGCGAUGACGUCAUUUAGCGACUUCUAGCGACAUUUAGGACAGCCAACAGCGAAUUUCCUUGCUGAGGAGUUGGCAACAGUGGUACGGAGCCCCCUAGGGGACAUCCUUCCUGUUUGUGUUAUAUCCCUUCCUGUUGUACUUUUUCUCCUCCGCGUUUGUAUUUUAUUCCUUCGCGUUUGUGUUUUUUCCUUCGCGUUGUACUUUCUCUCCUCCGCGUUUGUGUUUUAUCCCUCCGCGUUUAUUUUUUAAGGAACACUUUUGUCAUUUUUGCCCUCCGCCUUUAUUUUUUAAGGAACACUUUUGUCAUUUUUGCUGUUGACAAGUUGUUUUCAAAGUCGAACGCCGCAUUUAAAAACGAACUCCGCGUUCAAAGUCGAACUCCAUCUUGGGCCCGAGCAGUGUCACUCAGUCAGUCUGUUGAGCGUGCAGCAGGGGAGUCAGAGGACGGAUUCCUACGGUACUACUUCCUGUCCAAACUUAGUUUGGAGGUUUGCUUUGCCUGGCACACCGGCUGAUCAUCACCUUGGGACAUUACACACCAAACGCCGCUGCCGGUCCAUCACAGGCAGAGGGGCCACCUGUUGAUGAAGAGGCUGAGCCAACAAGCGAGGAUGAGGAUGCCGAUCGAUGUGAAGAAAGCGAGGCUGGAGUGCAAUGGGGCGGUGUCAGCCUUGUCGGCCCAACAGGCAGCAGGCAUUCAGAGAGGUGUGACUGUUCAAGGCAACUGUGCCCCAAAAUAACUUCUAGAUGCACCGAGACACAAAACAACAGAUGGAGGAUACAGCGAAGGGCACAGGAUAAACGAGAGAGGGAUGAAGAAGAAAGAGAGGAAACAGGCAGAGAGAGGGCGAGCUGAUUUGCCGGCUGACUUUCUCUGUGACAGGAUGCCAGUAGUGUUCAUAGAUGGAUAAACCCGGCGCACGAAGUUGAGGUCCCCGACAUACAGGCUCCCGUCGAUGCCCAUUGCCAAGGCAACCGGUGCCAGCAGCUUGUUGCCAUCCGCAAGG